UUCCGUAGGUGAACCUGCGGAAGGAUCAUUAAUGAAUUUAUUGACAAGGCUGUCGCUGGUCUUUACAGACAUGUGCACGCUUUGCUUCAAUUCAUCCAUUCUACACCUCUGUGCACUUUUCAUAGGCUGGCUUAUUGGGGUUGUCACUGUAUGACCCUUGGCCUUUCUAUGCAUUUUAUUACAAACAUAUCUAGUUCAGAAUGUCUCUAUUGCGAAUGUAACGCAUAUAAAUAUAACUUUCAGCAACGGAUCUCUUGGCUCUCGCAUCGAUGAAGAACGCAGCGAAAUGCGAUAAGUAAUGUGAAUUGCAGAAUUCAGUGAAUCAUCGAAUCUUUGAACGCACCUUGCGCUCCUUGGUAUUCCGAGGAGCAUGCCUGUUUGAGUGUCAUGUUUUUCUCAGUCCCCUCAGAUUUUUCUGACGGUUGGUACUGGAUAUUGGAAGCUGCUGGACAUAUCUGUUCAGCUCUUCUCAAAUGUAUUAGCGUGAAUAUUUAUCGAGUGUUCUCCAGUGUAAUGAUUAUCUACGCUGCCGAACCUUUGAUGAGAUUAAUGUGUUCAUGCUUCAAAUCGUUUCCAUAGUGGAACAAAAUUACUUGCGUUUGACCUCAAAUCAGGUAGGACUA
rnacentral:rRNA from 1 species